UACAUUUUUAAGUGGUUGAAAAAAUAUGAAUAGGAAAAAAUAAUAUUUUGUGACAUAUGAAAAUUAUAUGAAAUUCAAGUUUCAUGUCCAAAAAUAAAGUUUUAUUGGAACACAGUCUAACUCAUUGUUUUAGGUAUUGUCUGUGGCUGUUUUAGCAUUACAGUGGCAGAGUUGAGUAGUGGCAACAACAGUAUGGCCCGCCAAGCUGAAAAUAUUUACUAACUGACCCUUUACAGAAAAAGUUUGCCAACACCUAGUUUAGUAGAUGUACUUACCUGAGAGCAGAGGUGAUUAGGGGCAAUUUUUUGCCCCUUCCCCACCCCCAAGGAAAUGAAGAAAGUUCAGUCUUCGUCUUUGCCCUCCAUGCUGAUAAAAUCUCCUGCCCACAUUUUGGAAUUCUUUCCCCAAGGGAAAACAAUGAUUUUUUCCCUUCUCCACCUCACUGUGUUCUUUGCAAGGUAAACAGUAUGUGUUAGCUGAAGAUCACUGCAAAGGACCACAUGUCCUCUGCAGGCCACAAAGGGUCACCUCUAAGAUCACUGCCUUGUGUCACAUAGCUUACCAUGUCCUUCUAAUGCACAGGCUGCCUUCUGCCUCUCUCUAGUCACAGUGCCAUUUGGGGACGAAGAAGGGAAAGUGGCCUCUCUUUAUCUGUUAAUCCCUUAGAGGAAGUUCUGUUCAGAAUGAAUAGUCUUGAAAUGUAUAAUAAAGUUACCUAUCAAGACCACUUUUACAGAGAGAUUUAAAUGUGAUAAUAAGAAUAAAAGAAAAUGAAGUGACAUUGAGGGUGUCUUCUUUUAUAAUAGCUCUUGGUCUUGACUGUUAAGCACCCUGUAAAAUGACUUUUAUACAUUUAUGGGUUGAAAUGUUCUGCUGAAAUUUUAAGUGUUAACAUUGUUCAAACUUCCAUUACUAACACCUCUCACAUUGUUACAAAACAGUUUCAUAUUUGCCAUUUUGAUCAUACUAACCUAGAAUAGAACAUUUUAUACUGAAAUCCUUGUUUCAUGCCCUAGGAAGGUUCUGCCUAUUUUGAUUUUAUCAUUUUUCUGUGAGGGAGCCAAUACAUUAUCUUUGCACAUCUUACCCUGAUGCAUUUUAUAAACUGAUUGCCCCAGAAGAUAUUUCAUUGAGAGAGAAAGCUUAAGUGUUGUGUUAGAUUGGCUUGGAAAAGAAGUUUUUUUUUUUUUUUUCCCAGCCUGGUUCCUUCCUUUUCAGAUUUUCUUGUUUACUUUUUUAAGCUACUACUUGCAUUCAGACCAUAUUCCUUAAAUUAUGCCUUUUUUUCUUUUUCAUAACAGCUUUUUUUGAGAUAUAAUUCACGUGCCAUACAAUUUAUCCAUUUAAAGUGUACAAUUCAGUGGCCUUUAAUAUAUUUACCGAAUUGUGCAACCAUCACUACAAUCAAUUUUAGAACAGUUUAGCACUCCCCAAAAGAAGCCCUGCACCGCUGAGCCAUCAUCUUCCAAUAUCUACAUCCUGCUCCCCGGCCCUAGGUAACCAGUUAUCUACUUUCUAUCCCUGUAAAACCAAACCAAACCAGUUGAUAUCAAGUUUUUUUUUCCCAACUCUUAGCAACCCCAUGUAUUGCAGAGUAGAACUAUACUCCACAGAGUUUUCAAUGGCUGUGAUAUUUUGGAAGUCGAUCACCGACCUUUCUUCUGAGAUGCCUCUAGGUAGAUCUGAACUCAAACCUUAUAGUUAGCAGCAGAGCUCUUAGCUGUUUGUGCCAUCCAGGGUCUCCUCUAUCCCCAUGGAUUUGCCUUUUUUGGACAUUUCCUAUAAAUGGAAUCAUAAAAUAUGUGGACUUCUGUGGUUUCUUUCACUUAGCGUAAUGUUUUCAAGAUACCAUGCCUUAUUUUUCAGUCUGCUGCUUGUAAAUUCUUUCUUACAGAUGCAAAAUGUUAAAUGACAAAUAUGUGUAUAGAAGUAUUUUAUCUGCUUAAGCAUGUGAACUCCACUGGAUUCACCUUAGGUGUUCUAUGAGUGCUCGUUGAGUACAUAAAUGCAGUGUUUAAAGUUAAUGCCUUAUUUGGGCCUUAAAAUAACCCUUAGUGAAGCUGCAGGCGUGUCCCGAAAGAAAGGACAACUUACUGAUCAAAGUAUGUCCAAGGUUCUGCUUUCGGAGUUGAAUUGGGGCACCACAGCUGGCCCAGAACAUAGAUUUCUUUUCUCCAUUGCAUAUUGAGGGGAGAGGUCUCCUCCUGCUGUUUUGGGCUCUCCUUGGUGACCCAGGUUGUGGGUCUUCAAAUGUUUCUGUGAUAGGGGCUUUGGUAGUUGGAUAAAUUCUGAUUCCUAACUAUUUUGCUCAUUUCUCCCCAGAUUUUGCUGCAGAGAAUAAGUCCUUUAUAAAGUUUAGGCCUCUUUUUACAAGGCUGACAUUGCUGAAGAUAACAUGAGCCAUGCUUUUCAUCUUGAUGAACACAGAGUGUUUACGCCAUCUUUUUAAAAUACAAACUUUUUUUUUUUAAAGACAAAAAAAAUUUUUUUUUUUUUUUUUUUAAGAAAAAGAGGCAUUAAAAAAUGUUUUUCUUAUUAAUUUAUUAUACAAAUGGGAAGAGUUCGAAUUUGGACUAUCUGGUUCUUCCCUUCACCUUCCUUGUGUUUCUCUUUGUACCAGUAUAAUUUUCCAGUUUCCCAGGAAUGGCCCCCUGGAAGCCUGUCUAGUGUUCUAAUUGUUACCAAAUCCAGGCAAAUCUUUGCUACGAGACAGGUGGUGGUGAACUUACUGGAUAAUAUUAGCACCUCUGCUUCAUUUCCAUUUCAAGGCCUGUCCCCCCAUUAUCACUGAGGAUGGAAAGUCUGCUUAAGUUAUAAGCUAGCUAAUUGCUUCCUUAGCUGAAGACCUAAAUGAGUUUUAAAGUGAAAUGCAUAUCUCCAAGUGCUAAGUAGCCAGCACACAAUAGGCUAUUGAGAUAGCAAAGACUAAUUUAGAGCAGGUUGUUCUGUUUUCUUUUUUUCCCCUCCUUCCUUCUUUUUUCUUUCUCUUCUUUUCUUUCUUGUCUUCCUCCUUCCUACUUUCCUCCCUUCUUUUUUCCCCUUUUCGUUUAACUUUUAUAAACAUGAUGGGGUUGUAUCUGUGGGCUUUUGCUGGUAAUUAAAUAAAUUAUUUAUACAUUUAACACAGUCUUGAAUUACUAGGUGGUCAUCUUGGGCACUCAAAAGUGUAAGAGCCCUUGAAAGCAAUAUCAAGCAUAGAUAUUCCAUAGCACGUCUUACAAUUUAAAUAUUGCUCUUAGUGUAAUCGAAGCAGCAAGAGUAGUCAGAGCAGUUGAUGGACUAUUUUUCAAAUUGAUUUAAAAAAUGUAUUUAAGGGGAUGAUCUUCUAGUCUAGAUUACCUAUUGAUUUUUAAUAUGAAAAGCUCAUUAUGUAAGCAGUAACUGCGUAUAAAAACCUAGCAAACCUUUGCAUAAAUCCUUUAAUUGAAUUUCCAGAGCCUGUGGUUCUACUUUUUUUUUUAAUUAAAUCUAUUUCUUUUUUUAAGUGUUACUGUGUAAUUUGCAUGCUGUGAAGAGGCCCUGUCCCAGAUAAAGUGCCAUUGAUCCUUAUUAAACCUCACCUCUGGGCUUGCUUAAGACUAACUGGAAAAAUUAAAGUGUUCAUGCCGCAAUGCACUUACAGCUUGUAUGAUAGGAUUAUGGAAAAAAUAAUAAAACUAAUUUCCAGGAGAGAAUUUAUAAUGUGAGAUUUUAUUUUUUUUUUCAAUUUGAUAAUUAAUAGUGAAAUCAUAUCAUAUAUAUAAAUCAUAUUUUAGCCUAUAAACUGAAAUGGCAAUUAGGAAAGAUAAUAUAUACUUGAUGUAAAACCAUCAUGUUACGUGCGGGUAAUCUUUUGGCACUUUAAUUUUUUAAUUGUAGGAGGAAGGGAUUAUGAAUUCAAGUCAAAUACAUUUAACAGUGGGUUUCAUUUGAAGAAUCUGACUUUUUUACUGUGUACUAUAUUAGUAGCUUUUUAAUUUUAGUGUGAGGAAGUAUAAAAGAUACGGAGAAAGAUAUUCUGGUUAUGUUUGUGUUAAAAUGUAUGUAUUAGAAUUACCAGGGGAAAGGAAAAUAUAAAAGCUGCAAUAGGUUUUUCUAUUUUUUAAUACCUAACAUUUGUUAUUUUAAAAGCAAUAAAAUCCCCUAAAGAAAUAUUCAUAAUCAAUAAGAACACAAAAUAUGGAAUAUAUUAACUGAGUUAUAAAAAUGUUUGUAAUAUAGCACAAAAUGAAAAACACAGCAAGUUAUGUACGGUUUAAAGUGUAAUCAAUUUUGAGGUUGUAUACAAGGAUAUAAAUGAUAAACACAAGUAGUAGCAUUUUUAGUAAAGGCUGUUAGAAAAUACUGUAUUUAUGGCCUAUUCCAUUCUUUUUAUAGCUCAUUAAUGUAGAAAACAAACACAGUGUAUCCAUCUUCUCAGACAGCUUAAAAUUCCCGUAAAUGAUAUUUUUAAAUGGAAAUACUGAGCUCAUUUGAUCUGUUUCUUCUUCAAGCACGUGCUGGGUUGAUCAGGCUUGUACACUGGAGUCUCUUUUGAGACUCUGUGAAGAAAAGGUGCUGAUAAUGACAUAUUACCCUCUCUCCACCAAACAGGCCAAACCUAACAUCUUUACAAAUGGCUUAUCAGUGCUCCUCCCUCCCCUCCACCUCUCACCACUCUCUCUGCCCCCUCCCCAAGUCCCAUCCCACCCCAAGGAGAGCCUUGGCACCUUUGGAAGCUGCAUUAAUUCUUCCAGGCCACAAGGGGGCUGUUGAGUUACUGGUUCACUGCACUAAGUGGCAGGAGGGAGUUUUAAUGGUGGUUCCAAAGGUGCUUCAUAUCUUGUGGUACCUAUGAAUAUGCAUAGAGUGUGUGCUCAGCAAUCUAGUGGUUCAAACUAGGCAGCUGGUUGUGGUGGUGAGGGCUUUUUUUUUUUCCAUUUCCCUCCCCUUCCUUUGGACAAGUCCUCUCUGAGUAAGCGGAAUCUGUAAUGUAAUUUCAUUAACUUAUUUCCAGUAUUUCACCUGGUUUUGAUGUUUCCAUCAUGGCCCCUUUUUUUUUUCUUCAUUUUGUCAUUAUUUAGAAGUCACUAGUCUAUUAUGAUUUAUGGAGCAUAUUUCCAUGACUGUAGGAAUCACAUCAUCACUAUGAAUCGGAAUCGACUCGAUGGCAGUGGGUUUGGCAGUGGGUGGGUUUAGGAAUCACAAACAUGAGUAUCCAGCCUUCCUAAAAAAAAAAGGAUUUAGCAAUGCUUUAUUUGUUUGAAAAAUAAAAAGAUCAUCUUGGCAAGUAGGGCAAAGUAUUUGAAUUGUUUCCUUUCUCUCUGUUUGGGUUAACAUACAGUUCAACAGUACAUCCAUCCAUCCAUUCAUCCAAUAUGUGUUGAGUAUCUACUAUAUGUCAGGCACUACUUCCGACACCAGGGAUAUGGAUAUGACUUUAGUUCAGCCAUUACUUUCAAGGAUCUCAUCAUCUAGUGAGUAAGACAAAGACCAAAGACAUAUGCAAGUAAUUAUAAAGGUAGAAGCAGAGACCUAACUCAGCUUGGUUACAGAAGGCUUUGGUUAUAACGUUGAAAGCCUUUUAACACAUGAUUAUAGUUUAUUUGGACUUCAGGAUUUAUAUUACUAAUACCAUUAGAGUUGCACACGAUAAUACUAAAUACUGUGAAGAUUAUGCUUUUGGAAUGAAGUUUCUUUGUAGUACUACAGUGUAAAAGAAGAUACUUUACAUAGUCCAAGUGGAGACAAGAGACACCCCAUUCUCUAGAAUGGGUUGGCACUAUUCUGCUUGCCCCAGAGAAUCAUGUGGCCAAUGUCAUAGAGAGGAUUGACGCAGAGGUCCAGCUCUAGAAUUUGGGCAGUUGUCUGCAAGUUGGGCCAGGGGCCUGGACACCAAAUAAAGUGGCAGCAAGUAUUAUCUGGCCUGGGAGCCUGGACAGUAGUCAGAGUAGGUAGGGUUCACUGAGAUACCUGAGCCAACAUUCAAGACCCAAGCCAGGACUGAAGGCAAGCUGAGCUAGGAAAAGCCCAGCCAGCACAAUAUAGAGGCUUUCAGUAAUACUGAACCAAUAGCACAGACUCGCUCACUGUCCCCUCCUGAGGACAGCACCAGCCAAUGGCAAUGAAAAUGGAGCAUCUAAGAGGCGGCAGAAUGAGAGGCUAAAUUAGGCAAUGAUUCUUUCGGCUUCAGAGCCCAGAAACUGGCCUGAUCUCAUCUCAGCUGCCAGGUCUUCUUUAGGGUGAAUCAAUAGGUUACAGAAUUGGGCUCAACCUUACAGAGCAUCUGAGGUUGUGAACCCAUCUACAGCUGCCUUGUCCGAUAUGGUAGGCACUAGCCACGUGUCCUGGUGGCAUAAUGGCUAAGCGUUCAGCCGCCAACUGAAAGGUCAGUGGUCUGGACUCCCCAGUGGCUCCGCUGGAGAAAAUACCUGGUGAUCUGCUUUCAUAAAGAUUUCAACCUAGGAAGCCCUAUGGGGCAGUUCUCCUCUGUUACACAGGGUGGCUAUGAGUUGGAAUUGACUUGACAGCACACAACAACAACAACAGCAACAUGUGUCUAUUUAAAUUAUCUGAAAUUAAUAAUUCACUUGCUCAGUCACACUAGGCACAUUUCAAGUACUCAGGAGUCACACGUGGCUAUUGUGUUGAUUCACAGAGGGUAGUGCUGGUAUAGAACAUUUCUAUCAAAGCAGAACAUUCUAGUGGAUAGUGUUACUCAAGACCAGUAGUCUCCAAAGUGUGCCAGAUGACCCAAUGGGGUUCCAAAAGAAAAUGCUUCAACUUCUAUUAUCCAUUAAACCAUUCACCAUUUAUUGUUAAAUGUCUCAUAGCACUCAUCAGAUGGCAGGUACUUUUUUAAGUGCUUUUCGUAUACUUAUGCAUAGCAUCCUUCCAAAUAGCCUAGGAGGUAGUAGUAUUAUUGUCCAUAUUUUACAGAUAAGAAACAGAGGCACUGUGUAAGGAAGUAGCAGAGCUGGGAUUCCAGCUCAGGUGGAUUGGCUGUAGGGUCCCUACUCUUAACCACUGCAUGAUACUGACUCUCAAUAAAGAAAGACGUUAGUCUUUACAAAUAUUAAACAGAUGCAAUAACAUGGUGACUUCUCUAGUACUCCAAUGGUCAGGAGUUGCGCACGAUGCACGAGGCAGGCUGGAGAGAGACUGGAUGUUUCCCCAGACAGAGGUCCCUGGUGGAGGCUCCUCUCCUUGUGGACUUCGAACAUUUGAAAAUGCUAUGCAAUUUGCAUUUAUGCUCGCUGAAACGAUUGAGUUGCCCUUGCAAAAUGAACAAAAGGCUUAAAAAGAUUUCUGCAAAGAGACCAGUGUCUAAAGAUAAUACUGAUAAUGCAAACACAAGCAGGCAAUGAGAAAAUGGCAGGGUUGGCACUAAAGCUACUCCCCAUGACCCUCUAUCAGUUGCAAGGUAAACACAAGGACAGUUUAGUCAGUUCUUGCAAAAUAUGAAUCAUCUCAUUGAGUCUGAACUUUUGAUGGGAACCUCGCUGGGUUUACCUUGUUUUAUCAUUAACCCUGGGAGAGGUGUCCCACCCUGCACCCCUUGAUGUAAAGGUAUUUAAAAAUGUUUCAUAUACAUACUGAUACCAGCACGUGAGUACAUGAGUAUACUGAGCCUAGUUUAUAGAAGUCUGAAAAAUUGCAAAGAUAGAAAAACAAAAAUCCAAAUUAGCAAAAAGAGAUGUGAAAUUGCAUCUACUAUUUUUAAUGGUAGUAGCUAAUAGAAUGAUACAAGCUUAUAAUUUGUAAAUAAAUAGGCAGAUAUUGAGGUAUAUGCCUUCAGUUUUUCCACCUGAAAAAGGUGCACAAUUCAAAGCAAUCUGGAGCCUACAGGGUUUUAUAGACAGUCGGGGACCUCUGUCUGACUUGGUUUUCUCUGUUCAGUUGAGGUCCUGCUUAUCCUCUGUCUACUAGAAGAACUUCCUUUCAAUAUGGCUGAAAAUUCUGAAAUGAAAGGUAUUUUGUAAGAAAAAAGAGUGAUUGAUUAAAACAGAGAAUCAUCUCAUUGAGUCUGAACUUUUGAUGGGAACCUCACUGGGUUUACCUUGGUUUAUCAUUAACCCUGGGAGAGGUGUCUCACCCUGCACCCCUUGAUGUAAAGGUAUUUAAAAAUGUUUCAUGUACAUACUGAUACCAGCACGUGAGUACAUGAGUAUACUGAGCCUAGUUUAUAGAAGUCUGAAAAACUGCAAAGAUAGAGGGUUUUCCUAGGACUCUGCCCAUAUUCAUCAUAACCUUCUCAAGAAUGUCUUUUGCUCAGGACAGGGAAAAGGGUGUGUGUGUGUGUGUGUGUGUGUGCGCGUGCGCGCGUGUCUGAUGAUAGGAGAACUAUGUUUGUGAAAACUGCAGGAAUAACAUGUAUCCACGAAUCUUUUGUAUUUGUCUUGCUGGGGCUGGAGGUUUAAAAUAAAAUAUAUAAUUUCUGUGCAGAAAAGUCACUCUUCAUUUCCCAAAGAUUCCUUAACCCUCUCUGUAUCCCUGGUUAAUACUGAACUACUCAACACCUCCUGCAUUUCUGUGUUUUGCUUUUAUGUGUUUUUGGAGGGCUUUUAAAAAAUAUGCAUCUUUAAGAAUACUUAGAAUAUGCACGUUAUCAUCAUGUCUACUCUGAGAAACAGGUGGAUAUGAAACAUCUGCCUGGACAGAAUGGUAGAUCAGACGGCUCCAUAUCGUUUUCCAUCACAAUUCCAUAAUCCUCAUUAGUGAAGCAGAGGUUGAAAGAGUGUACAUGUUUUUCCAAGGUCAAAUAGCUUCACAUUUUUUUUUUAAGCAGCAUUUAUUGAAUACUUGCUCCUGUGCUGAGUGCUUUGCAUGUGAUUGCUAAUCUCCCUAACACCCUGAGAAAUGGCUACUAUUAUUAUUCCCAUUUUACAGCUGAAGAAACUGAAGUUCAGAGAGGUUGAGUGAUUGGCUGGGUGUCACACAGAUGCUCUGCACUUGUUAGCAUCAUUAGCGCUAACUAUCACCAAGACUAUUUCCAGGACCAUGUUAUAUGAAAGUCAGUGGUAAGAAGCAGAACACAAGUUUCACAUUUUGAGGGAAGGGCCCCACCUGACUCUUCUGUUUCACCAUACCUAGCAGGAGUGCCAGGAGCAUAGGAGAUAUGUGGUACAAUCUGUUAAAAGAAAGAAAAGCAUGAAAAAAACAAUCAGUGAUAAUGUUGCAGGCAGUGAGUUACAGGUGGGUAUCCAGGUUUGUGAGGCCUGGAGCUUCUUCGUGUUGGAAGCCCACUUUAAGAAAAGGAGUGAAGCACUAGUGUGGAGUCUCGGGGUACCCAUGAAAGCAAGGGGCCCUGAUGCCUUCUCUUGCUUCAUUGGCUUCAAGGUGUAUCCUCCUGUGUUUGUGCCAAAGCCCACAUUUUGCAAAAUCACUUGGAGAUGCUUCUUUCAACGCUAACAAGAGUGUUUGUCUCCUUCCCUUCAUUCUAUUUUUUCCAUGCACUCGGUGUAGAAAGACACUUUUACCUUUUGGUUUUGGUGUUGAAGUCAUUUGAAAAAUACCCUGGGUUUGUUCUUAGAAAUGGAUCUACCCUCGAGAAAGCUCCUUGUCCCCUUGUCACCUUCUGUGGUGGAUUCCAGCUACCAGGAAGGUAUGCUUCUGCUUUCAGGAAAGUUCUUCAUCUCCAAAAGCCUUCUCUGACAUGGAAUCCUUUUAAAUUCCUUCCUUUCUUUCGGCCCACAUAUGGGUAGUUUUUUUUUGGUAGUUUCUUAAUGGUCUUUAGCGAAGGAAGUAAGUGACACUGAUCAUUGAAGGCGGACAGUAAGAUUUAUAAUGUAUUUGUGCUAGCUGAUUGCCAACAGAACCGGCCUUUCCCAGCGGUGCUGUACGCAGACUCGGAAAAUCAAUAGGGAUUAACCCCUGACCCCCUUCACAUACUUAUACUGGUGGGCUGCAUCGCUUACCAAUAUUUCAUCUGUUUCACUUAGCUGCUGUUACUCAAUAAUGUGUGGCCAAUCUCACAAGAUACUAAUUAAUUUUUUAAAAUGCAGCAUCACUUGAAGCUGUGAGCAAAUAUCACACCUUUGGAAAUGAAGGCGCUUUUGGUUUAUUUAUUAAAUUCACAUUAAUUAGCCUUAAUUAUAUUUAAACAACAACAACAAUGUGAAGGGACAGAGCUGUAUCUCAUGGGUGGUUUGCUUUGCUUACAAAACCACCCCCCUCGUGGUUAACGGUGGAGGGGGGCCUCUGGCACUGUACUAGAAUGGGUGUCCCCUGGCGUCUCUGCUGGAACACGGGCCCCUUUCAGGAGAAUUGCUCGUUUUUUUUCAGUUAAAGUGACAUUUAUAGAUAAAUACAUCUUGCUAUGAAAUGAACCCAAUGUGCUAUUUUUUAAGGAAUCAAAAUUAACUGUGUUACAUGCUUUAUUUGUAAAUAAAUGCAAAAGUUUGUAUAAACAUAUGUGCUUAUAUGGGCUACCCUUUACUAUUACUGCACAGAACAGAAAAGGAGCAAAAUUUGCAGAAUGUGCUGUUUUCCCUUUCCUUUGAAGGUUUGGCAUAUAUUAAAGCACUAUACAUUUGUCUUAAAAAUGGAAAUUGUAGAUUUUCUUUACCCAAGACCCUUUUGUUCACUUUUUUUUUUUUGCAAGUAUAUCUAUUCCCCAGAGUUUACUUACAGUUUGCUAUUGAUCUGGCAGCUGGUAUUUGAAUUGGUCGAUGUACUCUGUAACUUGUUUAAGAUACCCUACCUGAGCUAUAAGUUUAAAUAAUGUAUUCAUAAAUUGAUUAAUCAUUACAGUAAGACUUAUUAGCUGCAUUUAUAUCUGCGUGUUAUCCACAAUUGACUUGUAGUCUAAUAAUCAUGCAUACUUAAGGAGAAGUUGGGUUUUACAUUACAGUUUAAUAAUUAUCGAGGUGGAAAACAAUAGUAUUUGCGUGUAGAAGUUGCGUAGAUGCAGGGCUUUGAAGGUUGGUCUCACCGAGCAGAGUGCUGCUUUGCUUUUCCUACUACAAUAAAUAAUUCUCUCACAAAAAAUGAAAUAUAGGAAGCAAACCAAGUUCUGCUGUCCACGAAGAAGUUUGCCGAAGCUUUCCUGGAGUCUUGGUUCUGAGAGAUGGAUAGAGUCUGAGAUGGGGGACUUGAAGGGACAAUACCUUUUGCUAAUUUCUAACAGUCACAUCCUGUGGGGCAUCUUUUCCCUUGUUUUUUCAGGGUGUGCACAUACACACACAUACACACACACAUACACAUGUCCUGACUCCACAAAGCUCAUAUACCUGAAUAAGGCAGCAUGGCUCAGCUCUCCAGUGAAGCACUCAGGUGUGAGAAGUAAUAUCUCACAGAGUCUCUAAGAAACGAAGUGUGCACUCCAAGACACCCUGAGGCGAAUGUUGACAGAUCUUCCACGUGGACACCUAACCAGCUGAAGAUCACGCUUAGGGGUACAUGCAAUUUUAGUCAGCCUGUUGUUAUUUUUAGCAGCUCCUGACUCAUGGCGACCCCAUGCACAAUGGGAUCAGACCAUUGCAUCUGAUUUUUGGAAGUAGAUAGCCAGUCCUUUCUUCUUAGUUUAUCCUAAUCUGGAAACUCUGCCGAAACCUGUUCGGUAUCAGGACAAUAUGCAAGCCUUCACCGACAGGUGGGUGGUCUCUAUACUUGAGGUACAUUGGCUAGAAAUGAAACUGGGUCUCCUGCCCCAUCAGCCUGUGUCUUAGUUAAAUACAGUCUUCUGGGUAAAAAAAAAUUAGUAGAUGUUAAAUUGUGGCUUUGCCUUGGGCCUGCCAGGUUAGGCCAUUUCUGACUCCCUCGGUAGCCCUGUUUCAGGUUUCUUUUCGGGGGUGAAGACCUGUCACAGGAGUUGAACCCCCUUUCUUCCUCUGAUUUGGUUGAAAAGUCAUUUUGUCUCACUGCAUGAUUUUUCUACUUCAUAAAUCCCCCUUUCAAACAUUAUUCAACAACCUGCUAAAUUAAUAUAUACUGUGUUCGUUUGGUGAUGGUGAGGGGAGCCUGUCUCACAGCAUGUGUUUGUUCAGCUCUGUGUUGAGAGUGCUGCCCGCCGCGUGAAGGACAUCUGCUCACAAGUGAGCAAUUGUGCUUCUGAUUCGGGGCAGCACCUUCGCCUGGAUGCCGGCUCCAGAUGAAAGGACAGAUUGCCGUGAAGUUGCUUUUCUGAGGACCCCUCUCCCCAGCAUGAGGCUUCAUACAUUAUUGAGAGCAAACCUACUUUCCUCUGCCACUCCUCACUGCACUUAUUUUGCCAACCUUAUUCAGAAUGUCAGCAUGGAUCACUUUGCUACAAAGGCAUAAAGGGCCAGCCAGGAAGCUUAAGCAGAUAAAUUAUUUACAGUGUUUAAUUAUCAUCGUACAGAUUUAUUAAACUUCUUGGUUACCUAGGAGCCCACGUAGCCACUAUAAAGAGUUGGCUAAACUUUGAAUAAUAGACGCUGUGUUGGGAAACCAAAUCCCUUCACAAAUGCUAUUACAUAUACCUGAUGUCUGUGUGGGCUGUGUGCAGUGGUGUGCUGGUAAAUGUUUAACAGCCGGCUCUCUGAGGGUGUGGCAAACCCUGAUUUUCAGCUUUUGCUGAGUUUUGUGGUGCAAAUUCUUGCACCAAGCCGAUUUCAAGCUGCCAGUGUUAGAACAUGGAACAUGGAGUUGGGAAGAGAGGUGAAGUAGCUUAUCAUUACACACAUGGUACUUCCAUCGUAUAGACACGAUAGUCAGAAAUAAUCUCACCCUGCCUAGUUGUCCUCAAGUGGAUUCCAACUCAUGGCAACUCAAUGUUUGUAAGAGUAGUACUGUGCUGUGCAGGAUUUUCAGAAGUAGAUUCUCAGGCCUUUCUUCUGAGGCACCUCUGGGUGGACUAGAACCUUCAGCCUUUUCGUUCACAGUCGAGCGUGUGACCUGUUUGUACCACCCAGGGACUCCAAAUAAUCUCAAGAGCAUAAAUCAUCGUCAGAUGUGCUAAAAGAACUCAGGCAUAUGGAGUUUUGUAUAUGUGUUAACUUUUUAAAAAUAUACUUUAUUGAGCUAUAAGUUUAUAUAAUUUAAUAUUUAUAAUGGGUGUGUUCAAUAUCCAACUCACACAAUUCCUGAAACUUCAGUAGUUGGCUGUACUGAGCUGGUAAGACCCAGCUCCAGCACACCCUGUGUGCAUUUAAUUGACUGCCAGUUUUACAUUGCAUUUUGUGUUCGGAUUAGGUCUAUGAUCUCUACCUAAUUUGGGCUCAUUCCUAGCAGAGUAUCCCUGCCCAGUUUUCUGGUGGAGUGUGAUGAGCCGCUUGGCAUGCUGCUAAGUGUCCUCGACAGCAGGCAGACACAUGUACCCUGGUUGGUACAUCUCAGAUGAUUCUGCUGUCCUGAUUGAUAUUAAGGACAACAGUAUUUGCCAGAAGCUAUAAUGAGAUGAUUCUGUAACAACAGCAUGGUGACACCAGACUAUGUUUUGCAAUUUUCUUUAAUAUUUAUGCUGGAUAAAUAAUUUAUCUUUUUUCAGGUUUAUUUUUUAUUUUUAUUUUUUUCAUCUUGAAGAUGUUAGUAUAGAUAGGUGCUAGGUUUCUGCAAAUGACUAAAGCAAGGAUGUUGUUAUUUUAGCCCCCUGAUAAAAACCAGAUGCGUCAGCACUGUUGGCCCUCUGGGAAUUGUUUCCACAACUCCACAUCCCAUCUUCUAACACGAACUAAUGAGAUCUAUUAAGGACGAGCCCACACGUUUUAAGGGAGUCGCUGAUUAACGUGCCAUCUUUGCAUGCUGUUGUAACCUCAGGACUGACACGCACUGAAGUUUUGGAAAACUCCAAAGCAUGAUUCUCCUGUUAUCUACUUAGACUUGUUAAAGAUGCAACUUAUAAAGCAGGUUUUAUCAACCUCGACACUUGGUAUUUGUUUAGCAGCAUCCCUGGCCUGUGCCCACUAGAUGCCAGUGCCAUCCUCACUUCCCCAAUAGGGACAACAAGAAAAUGUCUCCAGACAUGGCCAAAUACCUGCUGGGGACAAAACCACCCCCGAAUGAGAACCAGUAUUCUACAGCCCCAGCUUUCUUAACCGCUUAAAGUAUACAGGGCAGGAAAAAUAGAGACUACUUCACUGUGCUUAGCCCUGAUUCCUUCUGGCUCUCCUCUCCCAAACUAGAGCCUCCCUCCCCCCACCCUAAUACUAGAAAUGGGAAUGAGGCAACCUUAUGACAUCAAAUCAACUUCUGCCCAGGGGACCUGGACCAAAGAGGUGGAGGGAGAAAAGCAGUAUUUGUACCCAAGGACCACUAUCCUGUAUCCUUUAAGCUCCUGUGGCAGUGCAGGCAACAUCAAAAAUGGAGUUUCUAGAGUGGGAGGGCGCUGGGGUUUUCUCUUUCUCAGACUAUGGUCACAGAAUAGCCUUCAGAGCUUUGGAACAGGGGACCGCGGACUGGGGAGUGUGCAUCUUGAAGGACUUGAAAGAGUCCCACUGCCCUUAGCUGUGGUGGAGAGGAUGGGUGUGUGUGUGGAGGGGGGCGGGGGUGGUCUUUAUUGUAUUUUGAAGAAGCUCUUAUCCCAGUGCCCUUAAAUUUAGGCAUGAUCUUAUCUGUUAGUCCAGAGGUGGUUUUCAGGAUUGCUCUGUGAAUGCUCCAAGUCUUUUCCCAGCAGCAAACUGAUUUUGCCCAGUUUGACGACUCUGUGUGGCACCACUCAUAUCCAAGUCUAGGUGAAGGGCGCCCCCUGGAAUUGUAUCCUGUAUAAUCUGCAUGAUCUUAACACCUUUUUUCAGGCCCGAGAAGGCCGAGAUUGAGCUUCUCCUGCAUUUUUUCUGCAAAGGUAAGGCCCUCUGACUUUUCAGGCAGGUCUGACAUUGUGACAUCUGCUCCCAUGAUCUGACUGGCUCCUGGCUGGCCCUGCCUUGCACUUGGGUCUUCAGUCAGCUGAUCUGAGACCCUUGGAAACUACUGUGUUGGGUGUUGUUGGUGUUCUGUGUUCACUUAGCAUUAUCUAAACCGUGGGUGCAGUGGAAUUCCAGGUCACAUAGACCUAGAAUCAUGUCCUUUCUGGGCCACUUCGGAACUGUGUUACCCUGGGGCAAUUGAAAUCAGCUGAGUCUUAAUUUCCUUACCUGUUAAAUAGGCAUAAUGAUGUCUCCAGAGCAGAGUAGUGGAAUGACUAAAAUAAAUAAUGAACAUUAAGCAUCUUGCUCAGCUCUGUUGCACGGUGGGCCUUUAAUAAGCUAUGUUUGUUGUCACUGUUCUUUUGCAUUAUUGCCAUCUAGGACAUUCUCUCAAAUAAUGUCACCAGGCUGCCUUGCCCCCUCCUGCCUAUAGGACAUAAACCUGCCCAGUCUCUUCAGAGUGCCUAAAUCCUACAAUGAGCAGGCCCUUUCAGAAACAGUUAAGAUCAAUAGUUAUCUGCUUACCUUUCUGGCUGAGAUGAGAUUUUCUGCUUGUUACUAGGAGAUCAAUAGCGAAAGCACAUUCUGUUAAGUUUUCCGAAGGAGUCAUUAAUCUCCCUCAGCCUCAGUUUCCCUAUCUGCAAAGUGAGUCUAACCAGGAUGAUAAUAAAGAGUUAGGUCAAGUGAGGUUGGCAGCCAGACACCCCCUACUGGCUGCAACAUGAGUGCAAAAGCCCUCUUCAUGUUUCCAGGUCAGGGACAGUCAUUCAGAUGGGAAUAACGAACUUGAGAAUUGUUGCUCUUUUUGUUUGGUCAGAUAUCCCAAGCUGAAGCUCUCACUCUGUGGACCUGAUAACAUGCAUUUCAGUAUCUACAAAAUGUUAUUUGAUGUCACUGAAUUGUACAUGUAGAAAUUGUUGAAUUGGCGUGUUUUGCUGUGUGUAUUCUCAACAACAAAAAAGUAAAAUAAAUUAUUUUUAAAAAUGCCAUUUUAGAGAUAAAUUUUCAUUCUUCCCUUAGAAGUUUUCAAAUGUGUGCAUACGUGUAUAUCUAUAUAUGUACAUAUAUUUAUAUUUUAUAUGUGAAGCCCUGCUAGCAUAGUGGUUAAGAGCUUGGCUGCUAGCCAAAAAAGGUCAGCAGUUCAAAUCUACCAGCUGCUCCUUAGAAACCCUAUGGGGUAGUUCUACUUGGUCCUAUAGGGUCACUGUGAGUUGAAAUCAACUCGAUGGCAAUGAGUUUGGUGUGAUUUGGUGUUAUAUCGGUGGUUUUGGGGUUUUGAGCAUUUAAACUGAAGCUGGACAGUAUUUAUAUUUCCAGAAAAUUCUGUUUCUUUGUGACUUCAUAGUCGUACUCUCCAGGAAAUAAGACUAGACUGGGAAUGACUGUGGACAGAAUGUCUGACCUGGGGCUUAUAAUGGCAGAAAGAUGCCCUUUUUUGGGUUUCUGUGGUGGCCAAAGGGGAAUUUGUAAGUUCUUAGAACAGAUUGUCAGAAAUCUGGGACCGCAGUUCUGGUUGGAACACUUGUCACUAAAGCUGCUGAUAACCAAAGGGUAUCUCUUUGGUGUGGAUAACAGUUGUUGGAGGGGGAGAGCUGACGGAUAGUGGGAUGAUUUUAAUGUUUAUAUUCCACUGGGGUAAGCUCUAACAAAGACCCAUCAUUCCCCAGAUAACCAAUUCUUUUAAAAGAACAUCUGUUGAAAAUGGCAAUUUACAUUCUUCUUAAAAUACGGAGCGACAUAAUUAACCCUCUGGGGAGACUAAUAUUAGUUUAUUAGAGACAAUUUCUAGUUCUGUUUAUUUUUAUACUAAAUGAUUUGUUCAGAUUGGGAAAAAAAAUGGGAGGAUACUGUGUGGGAUCUCUUUUAUUUUGGGUUGAUGUUUCCAAGUCAAGAACACACAAGAUACAUAGCCAGGUUAUAAUGUAUGGCUACAGUGUUCAUCAACUGUGAACCAAUAGAAGCAUGCUAAAAAUACUUCAUAUUGUUUGAUACCUGGAUUACUCUGAACUGUACUUACUUUCAGGUAUAAUUAGUCUAUUUUAAAGUGACCUGAUCUAUUAUUAAUGUAUAUGUAUAUUUGUGUGGAUUCCUUUGUCUUCAUUCAUCACUUUGGGCUCCUUUGGCACCCACUAUGGAUGGAAUUCUCUUGUGCUCUUUGCUGUAGUCCCUGCAAAUUGAUUUACACUCUCCACAAAACAAGUAGGAACACUCAGUGUUUUCAACACUGAGCUAAUUUCAGACUUCUGGCUUGUUGUGGGAUAGAUGAGAGAGAAAAUGGGACAUUCUGACAUGGAGUAGAAGCUAGAUGAAACAACCGUCUUGCUGAUUGUUCAGACAUUCUUCUUUGAAUUGGAAAGUGUUCACUUGAACUUCCAACCAUUGAGCUCUCUGUUUUGUGUCCUGCAGCAAACUAAGUCUACUCUUGCCUUCCACAUGACUUUUCAAAUAUAGAGUUCCUUAUGAAGUAACUCCCUACGUCUUUAAGCUAAACACUUAAUUACUCAGCCUGAAGCUUCCACAUCACCAUUUGCUCUGUUGCACAACAGGACUAGUUAGCAGGAGCUCCUAAAAUAAGACUGAGCUUAUGAGAAAGAGUCAUUGCGGGCUCCUUGACUUGACUGGCCCUGGGCUACCAUGCCAGCCUCCUUCCUACCACUCUCUCCCACUUGUUCAACUUUAAUGCUUCAGCCAUACUGAACUGACCUCACCAGGCAUAGUCAUCAGUACCAGCUAUGCCCUCUCCCUGAGGCUGCCCGUCCUGCCCUUGACUUUGCUCUCUCCCCAGUCUGCACUGCCUGUCUCAGCUCACUCGUCUGUUGGCAAACUAGUCUUCAUCCUUCAAAACCCACCUCCUGGCAUCCUAUCUUUCAUGAAACCUUCCCAGACCUUAACUUACCGAGACAAUUAAUCACUUCUCCCUUGUGCUGUCUGGGUUCUUCUGUAUCCUGAUUGUCCAGUUACAUGGGCACCUUUCCCCUUGAAUGGUGAGCUCCUCGAGGGAAAGGACCGUGCUUUAUUCCUUUUCUAACCUGGGCAUGAUACCUAAUAGGUGCUCAGUGAACACUUGUUGAAUUUCAUUCCCUCCCUUCCCUCACCCUAAUUCGUAUUAAGACCUAAUGGUGUUUGGUGUCUUGUUUUCAAUGAAAUAUAAGAGGAUGCAUUGCCUGUGUGGGGGAGUAAUUAUAAAAUCCAAUCAAAUAGGGAAUUGCUUACUUACACCUCUAAUUUCUUUAUUUGCUAGCUGGAAAUGAUGAAAUUUGAAAACCCACAAGAAAAUUUGAGAAUAUACAGCUAUUUUGAAUAAUAGUCGUGAGGGUAGUAGUGGCAAUUGAUGCCUCUGGAGAGCCAAGAGUUACUUCCCCACUCCCCACUGCCAUUCCCCUCUAUUCCGCUCCUCCCUUAGUUACCUUCCUCAAGAUUCUGCAACCCAUGGAACUGUUGACUUACACCUUCACCAGGCUUCCUCCCUGGAACUGAACUUAAUUGAACAUAGCGGGUGAUGCUUACUCCACUAAAUAUACAAAGGCAGUUUGCGAGAGGGGUGGGAGUGAGCUUUGGGGUUUUGCUAGGUUUGUGAAACCUGGCAUCCUCCCUUGGAGAUUUCUGCCUGAUUACUUUUUUAUCACAAUUAAAUGAACACCCAGAAGAUAAAUGUUGUCUGGAGCCUAACGGCAUCUCCACAGAAGCAGGAAGCAGAUGGCCCAAUGGUUGACAACCUGUCUGCCGUUUCUGGCGGGUGAGGCUUGAGCCAAAGGCCCGUGUUACCAGCCAUUCAAUCCUGAGGAAACACAUCCUCUGAAGGCGUUUUAACUUUCCGCGUGUCUUCAAAUUGAGUACUUUAUUUUUUUCCUUUUUUAAAUUCACCAAUCUGUGGGCAAAGUGACCAUUCAGAACCCACAGCUGAAGUUGAAAGGUUCACCAGAAGGACCACCUUGGUGACUCCAACAAGUAGGCCAUGUUUAUAAUCUUUGUCAGUGAUUUCAUUCUAUUUGGAUCAACAAUUAAUGUCUGUGAAAGCAGCAGUCAAGAAAUCAAAUGACAUAUUGCAUUGGGCAAAUCUGUGGCAAAAGACCUCUUUAAAAAUUUAAAAAGCAAAGAUGUCACUUUGGUGACUAAGUUGUGUCUAACCCACUUAGUUGGUCUUUUUAAUAGCCUUGUAUGCAUGCAAAAGUUGGUAAAUGAAAAAGGAAGACAGAAGAAUUGAUGUGUUUGAGCUGUGGUGUUGCCAAAGAAUAUUGAAUAUACCAUGGACUGCCAGAAGGAUGAACAAAUCAGCCUUAAAAGAAAUAGAACCAGAAUGCUCCUUAGAAGUGAGGACGGUGAGACUUUGACUCGCUUACUUUGGACACGCCAUCAGGAAAGACCAGUCAUUAGAAAAGGGCAUUGUGUUUGGUAAAGUAGAGGGUUAGCAAAAAUGAAGGAAACCCCCAAUGAGAUGAGUUGACACAAUAACCUCAAACAUACCAAUGAUCCUGAAGAUGGUACAGAACUGGGCCGUGUUUCAUUCUGUUAUACGUAAGGUCACCAGGAGUCAGAGCCGACUUAACAACAACUAAUAUAGGGUCGCUAUGAGUCGGAAUCAACUCGACGGCACUGGCUCUCGGUUAACAAGAGUAGCAUAACUCCCUAGCCUCACUUUUCUGAUCUGUAUAUAAAACACACCUCACAGUAUGUUGGAAUCAAAUAUAUUCAACAUUCAGUCCACACUGGCGUGAUUGCAUAUAUACAAUCAGCUCCCCUAGGUCUUGGGCCAUGACAGGGGACAAGAGAUAAUCUCUGACCUGGGGGAGCUGAUUGUAUAUAAAUGUGCUGAGCACAGGGCCUGCCAUGUAGAAGGUAUUCACAGAAUCUGUUUUCCUUCCUGCCCAAGGGAAACUGGAUAUAUGUUGAAAUUUUCUUUAUACAUUGGCUUAGAGAAUUUUUACUGUGUUGUUCAUGUGCCCGAAUAAUUUAUAGCUAUUUACAAAGUUUAAAUUUUAGGAGUAAUUGGUUCCGAUAUGCAACAUCAUAUCAAAAUGUGUUUUUUGUACUCAAUUUGUGAUCUUUUGACAAAUUACCAGGGGCCUGGGGCCUGAUGUAUCAAGUGCUUAUGUGCUGCAAGUAUGGUGAGUACCAGCAUGUGUGCAUCCACGCCCCACAUCUUUUACCCACAUCAGACAGCAUGCUCAGCACACCACUCCAGGCGGCCGUUACUUAUCAUCUGAAGUCAGUACAGGAGAUGCUCUUUAUUUACCAUCCUGGCAAAGUGACAUUUUGACAAAAGCAAUGACAUUUCUUCCUGCAAAGAACAGAACUGCCCCCGUGUUGUGGUUACACAUUUGGAAAUCUUUUUCCCAAUGAUGUGUUGCUCUUGGGGCUUGGCCUUCCUCUUGGGAGAAGGCUGAAAAAACUUUGAGCCAGUUACCUAAUGGAAUAAUAUGGAAUUUAAAUGGAAGUAUUUUCCCAUUUCUAUGGUCUGCCCAGGUCUGACUCUCAAUAUCUAACCAUAAGCUAGAGCUGUGUGAGAACAUAUCCAAUGUUAAGAAUCUGAAUAUUAAGACAACCCAGAAGCUGCCCCAGGACAGAAGGAAGUCACUGCAAGAUCCAUCACAAUGGCAAGCUUCCCCAUUUCAUUGGUGGUAUGAUUUUAUUUAUGCACAAAGUUUCAGGGACAUAUCUGUAGCACCAUGCCAUGCCUACUUGUGUGGUAAUUAAUGUGUGUGUUUAUCAUUCCCUUUUGUACGAGCGAAGAGCAGUUUCAUUUGGUUGUUCCAGGUCCCUACAGUGUCUGUUGAGUUAUUUGUAAAAUAUCUUGAGAAUGUUUAAAGGAACUCAUUCUUUGUGCAAUUUCUGGUUAGUGACAUAAUAAUGAUAACAACAACAAUAAAUAUAGCUAAUGCCUAUACAGCACUUGCUGUGCUGUUUAUAUAGUUUAUAUAUAAUGGAGUGCUAUAUAUAUUGCUGUGUCAUUCAUUCAGCAGAUAUAAUAGUAUAUCAGUAUAGAUUGCACAUAUCAGUGCUAUAUUUAGCAUUGUACUCUGAGUGCUUUACAUAUACUGUAUUAAUUUCUCACAAUAGUUCUAUUAGUUUUGGAGAUGAGAAAACAGAGGCACAUGGAAGAUAACUGGGCCAGCAGCAUACAACUAAAAAUGGUUGUCUGUCCUUCCAGAGUUUGUGCUCUUACCCACUGCAUCCUAUGUGAUCAUCCUAAAAUUUCUCUCUAUUUGUAUAGAUAAAUGGUAACACUCCCUUACUAAGCAGGGCCAGGAUUCCAGACUUCUGUAACCAUCAGAAGGUAACAAAGUUGGGAAGCAAUGUUUGGAGGAACUCUGAAUAUCAAGAUGGCAACAUCUUUCCUUUUGCAUUUUGUCUGGGUCAAUAGAUAAACAAGAACUAAACAAAGGAAUAAGCAGACUGGAGAAAAUAAAAUUUUUAAAAAACAACAGGAACAAAACACGUUUGUGCCUUUUGAAAAUCCUUUAGUCCAGUAACACUCUAAAGACCGUUUGAUGCUAAGAAUGGGAGUCUUCUGUGUGAACCUCAAACAUGUACUUUGAUUGGGAAUAACUCAUCUCCUGGGUUUGCAUGGUUGUGGCUUAAUGGAGUGUGCAUCAGCCACUUUUUGAGGAAAAGAAGUUUAAGGCUUGGCCAUUGGUCCUCGAGUCAGCAUAUUGCUCUCUGUCAAUUAGCCCCUCCUCCACCUUUAUGGUAUGGCCUUUCCUGUAAUUACAGUCAAGAUCCUAUAGCCGGAGGAAGGCCUGUCAAUGAGCAAGAGGCUGAUGUCCAUUGCACAGUGACAGCCUAUUCCGAGGGUUUUAGGCCAGUCCUUAGAGAGGCUUGCUAUUUCCUCCAAAGGUACUUUUACUUGACCCCAUCCACCGCCAUCAGAUGAGCGGAGGUGUCUUAUUCCGUGGUUGAGCUCAGAAGGUCAGGUCCCUUGGACAUGACGUAUUGCAAAGUGGAGAUGCUUCAUUGAUUUGUAUUUUUUUAAUUAAAAAUCAUUAUUUUAUAUGUGUCUGUGUGCUCAUAGGAAAAGAUCUAGAAAGAUGUAUAGCAAACUGUCGAUUGUGUUUUACCCUUGGAGAGUGGGCUUGUCUACAGCAGUAAGGCCAUCAGAAGAAAGGCAUGUUUCAGGCCAGUCUGUAUUUGACUUUCUUUUCAAUGAGCAUGGAUUACUUUUUUAUAAUAAUUUCAAGUUAUUUUGUAGUUACUUAAAGAACUGACAUAAAUAAACUUAUUUUUGAUUGUCAGAAAUUCCGUAAGAGAGGAAGAAUUUCAGUGGACAAACACAAAAUCUUCUUAACACUCAAAGGGAUGCCUUAAACUGAACUAUGGGUUUUCACUUUUGCUCUUAGAGAGUGUUGGCUGGUUAGAGCCCACACUUCUGCUUGACUGUUUUUCCAUGUGGCAUUACUUAGCUUUACUGACCGCCUUCACCUCCACUCCCAGGCUGAUUUCUUCAGAUGUCCUGAACUUUCAUUCUUGUCCCAUCUAUCUGUUGCUCCUUGACUGACUGAAACUCGACCUCUCUCCACAGAAGGGUGGUAAUGUUCUCUUUCCACUCAUUUUUCAUUUCCCUGUUGCUUAAAAAUUCAAGCCCGUGUUUACAGUUAUCACUGUUGUUUUGCCCUUUUUACACUACAAGUGAGUGCCAGGUUUGCAGAGCACAUGACAGUGAUCUCCAAAGAUGCUGCAUGGUAUGUGACCCUCUAGGAGAAUUUUCAAUGUCUAUGAUUAACGGAAAAUGGAAUUUAAGGGAAGAAUCAUGUAGUAGGUAGUUGACAUUCUGUAGAUCUGUUCAAUUAAUGCAACCACUCCCAUAAUACCAGAGAUGCCGAUAUCAGCCUAUAGCUACUGCAUUUCCAUGCAUGUAUUUUGGUGAAUAGAUUUGUCCACCUGCUUUUGUUAGUGCAUGUAGUCAUUGAAGACAGCACCAUGUUCUAUACACCUUAAGUUUCUUGUUUAGGAUUGUGUAGUAGAGGGCCCUUUGGACAAUACUGCUGACAACUCACUAUAUAAGGCCAAUUAUUAGCUUUCUCAUUAUGAAUUGUUCUGUUAAAUUUUAAGCCACCCAGUUUGUGGUACUUUGUUAUAGCAACUGUAGGAAGCUAAUACACUAAUUGAAGAUCCUGAAUUGAAAUCACUAAGGAAAACGUGACAUUAUCUUGAACUAGUUGGAGUUCCAGAAUUUUUAUUGGUGAAACGAGACACAGGGUGUGGGGAAGUAUUUAAAGCUGGAUUGGUAUGGCAUUUAUGUAUACUUGAUAGAGUGUCAGUUGUCCACAUCUAAGAAUGGAGAAAAUUAUAGAGAUUAUGGGGGAGCACCCCAACACAUGCCUUGGCUGAUGCUCCCCUUGACAUGAAGGUAGAUUUCACUGGCAUAACUAAUUUGUGUAAAUUCACAAAGUUAAAGUUAUUGAGAAAUAAUAAUAGAAAAAUCUGGUAGCAAAUGAAGAGAGUCAAGGAAUAUAUUCAGCCCCUCCUCAACUCAGGAUUAGAGAGAAUGAAAAAAAAAAUUGAUUUUCCUUGAUCACCCUUGGAAGCUCCCUGGGCUUCCCUGAGACCAUCACUCCAGCUGAACACUUGCUGACAUCUUCCCACUGUUCCAUCCUCAGCACCUUUUGCUUCCCAGUCAGACCCUGUGUUGCUGUUGUAAGUUGCCCUCGAGUCAGUUCUGUCUCAUGGUGACUCCACAUGUGUAGAGUUAGAAUCACUUCAUAGCAUUUUUAAGUCUGUGACAUUUGGAAACAGACUGCCACUCCUGUCUUGCGGGGCAUCUCUGGGCAGGUUCAACCUGCCAACCUUUAAGCUAGCAGUUAAACCCAUAACCAUUUGUACCGACUUCUGUACACACUCUAAGCAAGGUCAGAGUCACCUCACCAGUCCCAGAUCAGCACUUCAAAUUGUCUACUGAUCUUUUCUCUUUGAAUGUCCCAGAAUACCUUCAAAAUCAACAUGGCUUUAACAAAUUUAUAGUCCUUCUGCUUCUAGUCACAUAGUCAACCAGUCCAGAAAGGCAUCUUCAAAAACUAGUUCCCUUUACCCUCCCCACUCCCUAAUAUCAAGAAUUCCAACUGUUGUGCAAAUCCACCCACUCUUUUCCACUGCCACAAACUUAGGGCAAAUCAUCUUUUCUCACCUGUUCUUCUAGCCAACCAAAACCAGUUGCUGUUGAGUUGAUUCUGACUCACGGCAACCCCAUGUGCCAGAGUACAACCAUGUUCCAUAGAGUUUUCGAUGACCAAUUUUUCAGAAGUAGAUUGCCUGACCUUUCUUCCUAGGUGCCUCUGGGUGGAUUUGAACUGUCAACCUUUUGGUUAGUAUUGAGCGAGUUAACAGUUUGAGCCACUCAGGAACUCCUACCACCACCUAGGGGUGAGGUUUUCAGGACGGGCGGCUUUUCCAAACUAUACCUGCCUUGCUCACAAAGUUUAAGAUAAAAUAAAACCGUUCCAAUUGAGAAGCAUUCUGUAUAAUGUUAUUGAUGGGAAAGUGAAUGCUGUGGAGACAGAAAAAAGGGCUGCACAACUUUGGCUUAACGGGGAAUUAGUGGCAUGCAAAAAUUGUGGGCUUUUAAUGAUAAAAUUCAGAAGGGAUCACUAUGUCAUUUUAUUGAUUUGUUAAAAGAGAGUGACGGUAUUUGUUUAUGGCAAUUCCACUUUCUUUUUCCUAAAAUAUAGGUGCAGUUUCCUUGGUUUUCUGUCCUUCAUGGCACUGAGAGAUAAGCAAAAUAAUGAUUGAGUUAAGGUUGAACAUUAUGAAGGCUAAAGGGGUAAUUCUGAAGACUGUUAGCCUGUUAACCAUAGGAAGCUUCUUAAUAGUUUGCCUUAAGGCAAAAAUGAUUUUAUUCUAGUUUCAUCCUUGUUGAGUCAAUAAUUAACUAAGUUAGAUUAAAACUGAAUUUUCCUAAGUAUAAAAACCAUCUGUUCCUUUCUCCUUCCACCCAAAAAGCACAAAAUUAAGGCAUUGCUUUUCUUUUAAGAGUUCAAUUAUCCAGUCUGGGGGUGAGACUCAAGGCACCCACCACAGUGGAAUCCCUUUGUUUGAAGGAGGUAGCCAGCAGGGUAACGGUCCUUUUCUGUCUGGUCUGGCUCCUGAUAGAAGGGCAGCUCAUACACUGUGCAGUCUUUCUGGAUGGAAUUGUCUGUGGGAGAACCUCUGUCUGACAACCAAACCAAAACCGAACCCACUGCCAUCAAAUUAAUUCUGACUUAUAGUGACCCUGUAGGACAGAGUAGAACUGCCCCAUAGAGUUUCCAAGGCUGUACAUCUUUACAGAAGCAGACUGCCACAUCUUUCUCCCACAGAGUAGCUGGUGGGUUCGAACCACCAACCUUUUGGUUAGCACCUGAGCGCUUUAGUCGUUGCACCACCAGGGCUCCUAUGUCUGACUACCAGCCCCUUCAUAAUAGUCCUUCUUUCCCCUUCUGACACCUCUUCCACCUCUUUACUUUUAACGUUGGUGUGAAGAUGACACAGGACCAAAAAGCAUUUUGUCCCAUUGUGUGUGGGGUCACCAUGAGCUUGAACCGACCUGAUGAUAACUAACAGCAACUAUAACAACCACCUUUCCAGUGAUCAGGCAGAUUUCAUGGGAAUUCCUGACCUUUGGUGACUGAUAGGGACUACAGGCCACUCACUACCAUUUUGAGGCCUCAAUGCUUUGUGUCCUUGAAGGAUGGAAGAGAAGGUAGGUGAGGAGGAAGAUGGUCAAAACCUGGUGUCUGCACUUGGCAAAAGAAAAGAAAAGAAAAAAAAAAAACAACAAAACAAAAACAAGCAACAAUGAUCAUGAGCAUCUUGGGGGUUUGAGUGUGGUGCCAAUACGUAAGCUAGCGCUGAACCAAGUGUUGUUCUUCAGUGUAGAAUUUUGCCAGCCUAGAUAUGCUGCUGUUUAUAGUCAAUACAAUACUAAUUGUGUGUGUGUGUGCAUGUGGUGUGCAUGUGCAUAUGUGUGUGCAUGGUGAGGAAGGAUGUGUCUUUUAAAAAAAUACAUAUAUGCACAUGUACGUGUGUGUGUUUAUAUACAUAAAAAAUGUAUGAAUUGCCUCAGUAUUUGCUGUGAUUGUUCAGUCUCCAUUCCAAUUGCCAAGAUAAAAUUGAAUUGUUCCCACUGCUGUUCAGUUUUACUCUGCAUAAAAUGUAACCAACAUUUUUGUAUUUCUUUCUCCCUCCCUCCUUUUCUUCCUUCCUUUCUCCCUUCGUCUAUUUUUUUCCCUUUUUUUUUUUUCAAGCUGCAUGCUUGCACAUUUAGUCAACCAUGGCUAUAUUUCACCACAUUGAUCAAGCCGUGGCAAGAUGUGCCAGGCUCAUGCUGCUGGAACACCUGGCUGUGACUCCAGCAGCAUCUUGGUAUGGCUGGGGGUGGGCAGACGCCUCAUUACAAUGUACAAAGUGGGGUGCUCAGCUAGGGUGUCAUUGUAAUUAUUCCAAACAGUAUUCCAGCUGGACUGGCUUUUUGGGAACACAUGUAUGUUUGUGCUGGAAGCCCCAGUAAUACCAUUUAAUCCAAAAGCUUUUUUCCUAUGAUGAAUUAUUCAGGCACUGUUUUCCAAAAUUGUCAUUGAUCAGUAGAGACCCAGAGAGCAUGUUCAACAGCACUUUUGCCAGGCUUGGGAGCAGUCGAUAUUUUCUGGCUCAAAGAAGUUCUAAAAGGAAAAAUUCAAAGCCAGCAUGUCUCUUUCUCUGGGCAGAAGUAAUGCAGGUACCACACUUUGUUUACUUAAGUUUAGCUUGGCUUAAAACCUAGCCAGGGAAAAAUGCUCAGCUUUGCUGGGGUAGAGUGGGGGAGGCUAUUAUCUGUAGGCUCUCAACAGUGAAGAAUGUCGGGGUAUGACAGAGGGUCAGCAAGGAGACGGCGAUUGAAGUUCUCAGUGAAUGCCCACAAAACUCUGAACUUUGAACAUAAGCACCCCCCCGACACACACUUUUCUUUUUAAUAACCCCCUAACGCAGUUUUUUAAAAUAAUGGAACAAUUCUUGAAAGAGUGCCUACCUAUUGUAAAACAGCAGACCAGUUGGUUCAGAUAACUUUGUGUAAACAGUUUGGCAUUAUUUGUGAAAGUUGUCAGACACCUCAAGAUGACCACUUCCCCCUGGCCCCAGUGGCACCUUUUAGAGAUGUGGGUGGGAAGAAGUGAAAGGUAGAGACUUCAGGGAACUAGAAUGCUGGGCUACCAUUUCACUGAGCUUUUCCUUAUAGUUGUACCCUGGCUUUCUUUGCUGGCCCUCUCCCAAACAGUGGUCCUCAGCCUUGGCUGUGCAUUAGAAUCACCUUGGAAAGUUCUUUAAAAUAGCGAUGCCUGCCCCUACCCUCAACUAAUUGGUUUCUGGUGAGGAAAGUGGGUGGGAACCAGGCAAGGAGGGCUGAAAAACAGCAAUCUCAAGUGUCCCACAUCAAAUUUGGAUAUCUGGAAGAAGAGUUGACAUAGAACAUUUCUGGGAGUGUGGAGCCAGGUGAAAUCCCCUUCAUAAAAGUAAGAUUGGGGUCCCAGCUAGACCUAGGGCCUCAAGGCACUUCCCUGAAGGCUGAUACUGCUCGCCUUUUCUGAUCUGCCUUAGUUAUCUAGCGCUGCCGUAACAAAUAUCACAAAUGGACAGCUUUAAAGAACAGAAAUAUAUUGUCUCAGUUUUGGAGGCUAGACGUCCAAAUCAGGGCAGCAGCUCUAGGGGAAGAUCCUUCCUUGUUGGUAGCCCCAGUGUUCCUUGGCAUCUUUGGCUUGAAGAUGGUUUCUCACAUGGUCUUUUCUCCCUGCAUGUGUGUGUGUGUAUCUUUGUUCUGCUCUUUUCAGAAGACACCAUUCAGAAGGAAUUAGAUUUAAGACCCACCUUGGAGCCCUGGUGGUACAUUGGGUAAAGCGAUUGACUGAUACCUGAAAGGCCGACAGUUCGAAACCACCAGCAGCUCCACUGGAGAAAGAUGUGACAGUCUGCUUCUGUAAAGAUUUACAGCCUUGAAAACCCUAUGGGGUUGCUGUGAGUCAGAAUCAACUUGAUGGCAGUAGGUUUGGUUUUGUUUGGCUAUUUCAAUAUGACCUCAUUAUCAUAAAAAAAAAAUUUUUUUUUUUUUUUUUUUAAUAACAAAACAAAAUUCCUAUUUCCAGACAGAGUCAUAUUUACAAGUACCAGGGUUAGGAGUUCAGCAUAACUUUUUGAGGGGCACAGUUUAAUCCCUAACACUAUCCUUUUCCUCCUUCACCCAAAGGUGCCUUUAUGUCUCUUGAAGCUUCUUAGGACCAGCCUGCCCUUAGCCUUUCAAGAUCAUUUUUUUUUUAACAGCUUUAUUGAUACAUUAUUCACCUACUCUGCAAUUCACCCAUUUAAAGUGUACAACUCAAUGGGUUUUAGUAUAUUCACAGAAUUGUACACCCAUUACCACAGUCAAUUUUAGAAUGUGUUCGUUAACCCAGGAAGAUACCCUGCACCUCCUAACAUCAUCCCCGAUGCCUCCAACCCCUCCAGUUCUAGGCAACUAUUAGUCUACUUUCUGCUUCUGUGCAUAUGCCUAUCCUGGACAUUUCACAUAAAUGGAAUCAUUCAAUAUGUGGUCUUUUGUGUCUGGCUUCUUUUACUCUGUAUAAUGUUUUUAAGGUUCAAGGUUUAUGUAUCAGCACUUCAUUCCUUUUUAUGACUGAGUACUAUUCCAUUGUAUCGUUAGACCCGAUUGUGUUUAUCCAUCCAUCAGCUGAUGGACAUUUAGGGUGUUUCCACUUUGGGGCUGUUAUGAAUAAUGCCACUGUGAAUGUUUGUGUGCAGUUUUUGCUACGGGCAUGUGCCUCCAUUCCAGUGUUCUUCUAUGACAUGUCUUGGCACUAACAUCUUGUGACAUCCCGGAGGUGUUUUGAAAUGUUUUACAUCUGAGACAAGCCAUAAUUAGCAAAGUGGACAGCUCUGGAUCAGGGAUGCAGGACACUUGGGUGACUUUUUCAGUCUCCACCGGCUCUAUGACCUUGAACUGUUAGCGGCUCAGCUUCUCCAUAGGUGAAGAGGGAAUGCAGAGAGAAUUCCUGUCCUGGGCCUGCCUUUCAGAGAUAGCAAGAGGUUAAACAAGAUGCUUUCUGAGAAAGGAAGGUGCUGCAGUCUUUGAUUACUACAAGGCGUCGGUAUUGUUUGUAUGAUUAAUGAGUUCACGUUUCAGACGUUCCCAUUUAAUGGAUUUGAGCCUUCUAACAACAUCGCCUUUCAUGUUUUGCUGACUGCUUUUGAGAUUUAUGAGGCCGAACCCACAAGCGAUGUGUGUCUGGAUUAAGGGAACCUGAGAAUUGCUAUUUAUGUCUGACCCGAGGAAAUUCCCUUUAAGCUGCUUAUCAGAGGUGCAUGCUGAGAGCAUGAUGGGAAGAUGGAGCCCUUAGUCCGGUGGUAAAAUCUGCAAUCUGCUCUCAUCCCGGUUUAACGAAACUAAAAAUAAGCUAACAACCCUCAGGUCCACUUGAAAGUAUCUGCUGUUUCAAUUUUGUAAAUUUAGUUUAAAAAAUACAUAUGCUGAAAUUCCAUGUUUUUUUCCCCCCAUACUCUAAGUCUCCAGUGUGGAAUUAAAAUAUAAUUCUUUAUUGUAAAAAAAAAAAAAAAAAAAGUUUGAUCAAGGUGGUUUUGAUCAUCUAAAUGUGCCUUCAAUUUUACUAACAGCAGAGUGACUCUUUAUUUUCCAUAUAAAAGCACCACCAACAUGCCACACUCUUUGUAUCUGCAUUUUUAAAAAUGAAGAAAAAUUUCCACAUCAUUAACAAAAUUAGGUUUUUCUUAAAAAUAUUCACGAAGUGCAGAAAAACUUACAUUUGUUUAUGCAUUGUAUCACCACCAGGGGGCACUGUGGUUUGACUCUCCGUCUAAACCGCCUGCAUUCUAUCAGUUUACCCAGGAAAUAGAAGGGCUGGGUGUAUUUCUGAGUCCUUCCAAGAAGGAGUCAUAUCUGGAAGAGAACAGAUGUCGAUUCUUUUUCCUCACUAGCAAACAGUAGUGUUGUCAAAUUUGCUAAACUUAGCUGUUGGAGAUUAACAUGCAAUAUAGAAAGUGCAUGUGCCUCACUGUACAAUAAAUAGUAAAUCACAUUUUUAUGCUUUCUCUGAACUUGGAAGCUGCAAGUUAUUAUUAUUUUUUUUAAUUCCCUGGGUGUGAUCAAAUAAAUAACAUUCAAAUGCAUUUUAAAGAUGUCAGUCGGGGAAAAAAGUGCUUGGCAACUGUGUUUGAUAGAUUUCCUGUAUGAUGAAUUCUCCUAUUAAGUUUUAAUGACUUUAAAGAUAUAAAGCUAGAAACUACAAAACUAGUCAUGGUUGAUAAAUAACCAAAAUACCAGGUGUAUAGAAUGCAUCUGUGGAAAAAUGAAAUCAUGUAUUCUCUAGGAUGUAUUAGGAAAUUGCUCUCUGGCAAAUAUGAGAGUUAAGUAUCGCUCACAGGGGAAGAAGGUUUAAAAACAGUUAACUAAAGAAGAUUUUUUUUUUUCCUUUAGAGAAGACCUUUAUGAAAAAGAUGCUCACUAAGAUGCACACAUGUGAAUUAAAUUAUUUUAUCAACCAAUAUUUAUCAGCAAGGUUGUUCUCUCGUGAAUGCAUUUCUCCACUUCAGAUAUUUAAGCAUCUCUGUACAAAUUUUCUAGAAUUUCUCACAGUUUCUUCUCACAGUUUUCUUCCCAGGCUUAACUGGCAUGGAGAGAGCGCUGCCCCUUUUGUUGUUUUAUAAAUGCUCAAAGGACUUACUCGUCCCAGAAGUGGGAAUAUUGGUGACAGUGUUUAAGUAGUACUAUCUUUUUCCCCCUGGCACCCAGAAUUUAUGAAACGUGAUUCGACUCAUCCUCAGAACAUCUCAGUGAAUCCAGGAGGGUGGAAGAAUUAAUUCCGGUUUCCAAGUCACACAAGUGAGGCUUGUCAGGAGCUUGGAGGGGUGCCCCCGACACAUGAAACCUCCCCAUCUGUGGCGGAAUACAGAGCCUGCAAGCCGUGCUUGGGACCCUCUCUGAUGCUGGUCACAGCUGAAUUAGUUUUUUAGAAUAUCUCCACUCGAGUUCUUAAGCCGAGCAGUUUAGAAACCAAACACACAUUAAUUAAUCUGAGUAAUGACUGAAGAGAUACAGGCCCCCAGAAUACAAUUGUAUAAAUGUAUGUUUUUAUAUAUGCUUAUGUGCCAGCAAGGAGAGUGUAUUUUACACAACUUCUUCUCCUCUGUAAAGGGCUCUUCUUGUUCCUAAAUGUUUUUAAACCACCACCACUACUGCCCCCCCCCCCCAGCACAAUAGGUGCCAUUUGGAACACUCACACCAGGCAGCCCCUACUCUUCAGAGCUUUAAAGGCACAGAAUUUAUUUUUGUAAGCGUUCAGCCCAUCCCAAAUGAAUACUGAUUCUCAGCCUCUAUGAUGCCUGGAGUGAGAAAGCAGAGAAUAUUGUUCUCUUCUGUUUAGAUUAUCUCAUACUAAGCUAGCAUAUUUGCCAAGAGUCCAAGGCAGCUCCUGGCUGGACCAUACCUUAUUUAACUAGCCUAGUUUCUAGAAUAAAGCCAGGGUCCAUCAGGCCUUCUCAGUAGCUCUCUGGUCACUCCUGAGCUGGACGAGCCCAAAACAACUGAAGCCAAUCUAUUUCCCCUUGGAUAUCAUCUUCCUUUUUUAAGGGAAAGGGCAUAGAUUUGGCCUGGGUAGCCAGAGAGCCUGGUCCAAUGCCGGAUACCCAGGUCUUCCUGGGUUUCUGAGAACUGGAACGCUUGGGUGUAGUGCUCAGUGUGACCUGCCUCUUCGGGCCAAGCAGCCUCACUGAAAAAUAAGGAUCCUUGCUUUCUCCAAAAUUUGGGAAGUUGCUGGAAAGUCUGGUUAGUAACUCCCUGGUUCCCAGUCCUGGCCACAUCCCUGGGCUCUCGCUAGCACACGGAGCACGUAGGCUUGAGGCUGGAAGAAACCCCAAGCAUUUGGCCAGGAAGAGGCAACUAGUUCCAGCUGGCCCAAGUGCUCGGCUUUAAAAAUUACCCAGAUGAACUGAUUUUGUAUCAAGAGUGGGUGGAGGGGACUCCAGGGCCUCGGAGGGAAGGUUCAGCCUUUCUCUCCCUAAUCGUGAGCAAUGUGAUUUGGAGAAAGAAGCAGGGGGCUGGCUCAGCAAACCACAUUUCCUUGGCUAAGCUCCAGGAGAGAGAAAUGAUCCAGAGGAAAGGGUAGCCACCCCCGGCCAGCCCCUUCCAGACCCUCUACACUGCUAGGCUUUCUGCUGGGUGGUGGGCAGCUUGGUCAGCCCCAACAGAUACUCGCUUUUCGGAGCAGGGGGUGCAUAGCGAGGGAGGGGCCAGGCUGAAGUUGCUGUGCAGUGGCUUCUGCAGAUACGAAGAAAUGACAUCAGAUGGAGGAGGUGUCCCCCAAACAUAACUUGGCCUCCCUGCUUUGCACAGAGACACAAGGCUGUGCUCUCCUGGCUCAGCGCCCACGAGAUCUUGGCACACUCGGACGUUCUGUAUCGCUUUUACCUCCAAAGCUAAUCUGGUCAGUGAAUUAGCCACUCUAUAAAAUGAAAAGUACCGAUCAUGUGCACGUCACAUUUUAUCUCACCCUAAGAAAGAAAAGAAGGAAACUUGAAAAAGGAAGGAAGAAGAGUCUAAGCUCUUUGUUUAUUCCCGCUACCCCCCCAGAAGGUAUAUACAGAUUAUCCAAAAAUAGUUCUUUAAAGGCAGAUGUUUGUUGCCAAGAGAGAAAGAGCCGAUAGGCCCUUCCCUGUGCCUGCCCCAGACUAGGACCCAGUGCCAGCCCAAUGCUGUAGGUGGGAAGAGCAUCAGAAUGUGGGCCCUCCUGAGCAUUUAUGCGUCUAAAUUAUUACCUACCCAGGGCCUGCGUUAUGCUAAGCCAGUUUCCUCCGGACUCAGGUCCCUCUAAUCUGUGCUGCAGCUGUAAACGCUGGAGGAGCAAGAUCCUUCUAGCAAGGGCAACAUUAUCUUGAAUAAAGUGUUAGGCAUUGAUAGUGCUGAGGGCGUGCUCUUAUUCAGUGAAGGAGGAGUAGGCAGGAGUAUAUUGAAGAGAGAGACCAGGAGUGAUUUCUGUGUGUUGACUAUCUUUUAAAAGACAAGAUUAACAGUAAUAUAGAAAUAUAAAUAAAUAUGUUUUUUUCUGACCAAACACCAUAAUUAGAUUUCAAAUUUGAAAUCUAAAUUGUGCCUAGGAGAUGUCACUGUUGAUUUUAAGCAAACUGACCCUCAGAGAUAAAAAUAAAAAGCAAAGGGGAAACAGGCAAACCUUGUUAAGGGCAAGUGAUAGGAUAUUCUGCUUUAUGUCUCACAGAUAUUUUACAGCUCUGGCAUUUCUAGGGAACAAUUUGGAAUACUUCUAGUCUGGUUUGUCCAUAAAAAGCUGUCUGUGUUUUUAUGUUUUGAAAAUACAUGCAGAGACGCCCACGCACGGCACAUUAGGCGUCUGGCCCUUGAGGAGACAGGCGUGUAGCAUCAAUGUCACGCAUACACCACCACCCGCCUUUGAAACGUCUUGGUGCCGUCCCCAGCCAAAUCGGAAUGAUGCUUCUUGGCAUAUCUAUGCCCAAUAUGGAGAGGAUUUCCUGUUUGCUUUGACAAGAAUGAAGUCUUAUUUAUGCACAGGACCCUGCUCCUUGCUUGCUUAUCUCCUUGGCCAGUACACCAUGGACAUCCCCCCAGGUCAGUAGACAAAGAGCUAACUCAUUUCCUCUAAUCCAACCCAGCUGUGUACUAUUCCAUAGUGUGGAUAUUUCACGAUUUAUUGCAGCUGGACCUCCAUCCAUUUUAAAUUCAUAUUUAGAGCUUUCUGGACAUUUAGAAACAUUUUGGAAAAUGAACAUCGUCUUUGUAAAUGUACGCUCUCAAAUUCCCUCUAUGAUGUAGGAAUAUUUAGAACGCUGUGUACCCUGUGCUCCUCUGUACACCCCGUUCCCAAAACAUUGUUUUCCAUUUUGCACGUGUGCCAUCUUCUCAUAUUCCUCUGAGCCUUCCUACAUGCACAAUCAACAGUCCUGGGGAAAGAACAUUUAACUUAGCAUAAUUUAAACAUGAGGGCUUUCUGAUGCUACUUCCAUUUAAAUAAUUCGAAAAUUCAUGGCAAGGUGUCUGAAUGCUACAAGAAGAGAGGUGUUAAUAGAUACAUCAUCCAGGCUGAAGACAAUCUGUGUUAUUCUGUGUGCAGCUGAGAAGGGUGGAGGAGCAGUGUAUGGAAAAGAUCAAGAUCAACAUUGUCAUUAUUGGUGUUACAUUACCUGAGUUGACUAUUUGUACCUUCCUGGACACAUGGGUCUGAUUCCUUAGGAGUCAUUUUUCCUCCUCCUGAGAAACUGUCAGUUUAAACUGGCUUUAAUUUUAACUGCAUUAUUCAUUUGCUUUAUAUAUUUAAAAACAAGUUUUGUGAAAAAGUUGUGUAUACGUUUCUUGGUUAUGAAAUCAGAGCAGCCAUCCUUCAAAUAUGAAGCAGAUACCCCAGAAUAUUAAAAUCUCGGGCUGCAUUUAUGGCAGUGUGGAUGAUUCUUCUAAAGUGGACAUAUCAAGGAGCUUGUCAUCUAUUAUCAAAUUACCUUUUCCUCAAAUGAAAUAUUUCUCAGAUUGUCUUAGGCUUGGUUCUCUAGAGGAGCAAAACCAGUAAAGCAUAUGUGUGUGUGUGUAUAUAUAUAUAUAUAUAUAUAUAUAUAUAUAUGGAAACCCUGGUGGCAUAGUGGGUAAGUGGUAGGGCUGGGAACCAAAGGGCCAGCAGUUUGAAUCCGCCAGGUGCUCCUUGGAAACUCUAUGGGGCAGUACUACUCUGUCCUAUAGGGUUGCUAUGAGUCAGAAUCGACUUGACGGCACUGGGUGAGAUAUAUACAUAUAUAUAUA